UACGAAGGUGGCAAGCGUUGUUCGGAUUUACUGGGCGUAAAGAGCGCGCAGGCGGUCGUUCAAGUCGCGUGUGAAAGCCCCCGGCUCAACUGGGGAGGGUCACGCGAUACUGAUCGACUCGAAGGCAGGAGAGGGUAGUGGAAUUCCCGGUGUAGUGGUGAAAUGCGUAGAUAUCGGGAGGAACACCAGUGGCGAAGGCGACUACCUGGCCUGUUCUUGACGCUGAGGCGCGAAAGCUAGGGGAGCAAACGGG
rnacentral:rRNA from 1 species